UACGUAGGGUGCAGGCGUUAAUCGGAAUUACUGGGCGUAAAGCGUGCGCAGGCGGUUUGCUAAGAGAGAUGUGAAAUCCCCCGGGCUUAACCUGGGAACUGCGUUUCUAACUGGCAGGCUUGAGUGUGGCAGAGGGGGGUGGAAUUCCACGUGUAGCAGUGAAAUGCGUAGAGAAUGUGGAGGAACACCGAUGGCGGAAGGACAGCCCCCUGGGCUA
rnacentral:rRNA from 1 species